GGGGCUGGUUGCGUAGCUGGUGCUUGCCUGAGUCUUCAAAACUUUUUGAGAGGCGCGUGUUCGUCUCUGGUCGGUUCGAUUCCGACACAGUCCCGCCA
rnacentral:tRNA from 1 species